rnacentral:rRNA from 1 species
CCAAUAGCGUAUAUUAAAGUUGUUGCAGUUAAAAAGCUCGUAGUUGAAUUUCGGGAUCAAUUUAUCGGUCGUGCCUCUGGUAUGCACUGGUAUUAUUGAUUUCUACCUUCUGACGAACCAUGAUGUCAUUAAUUUGGUGUCAUGGGGAAUCAGGACUGUUACUUUGAAAAAAUUAGAGUGUUUAAAGCAAGCACACGCUUGAAUACAUUAGCAUGGAAUAAUGAAAUAGGACGUUUGACCCUAUUUUGUUGGUUUCUAGGAUCGACGUAAUGAUUAAUAGGGAUAGUUGGGGGCAUUAGUAUUCAAUUGUCAGAGGUGAAAUUCUUGGAUUUAUUGAAGACUAACUACUGCGAAAGCAUUUGCCAAGGAUGUUUUCAUUAAUCAAGAACGAAAGUUAGGGGAUCGAAGACGAUCAGAUACCGUCGUAGUCUUAACCAUAAACUAUGCCGACUAGGGAUCGGAUGAUGUUAAUUUUUUAAUGACUCAUUCGGCGCCUUACG